rnacentral:tRNA from 8 species
UAUUCCUGCCCGGACACUACCCGAGGCCUGCGGCUCGAAAAGCCGCCAUUGUUCUCAACUACAGGAAC